GGUGAGGUGGCCGAGUGGUUAUGGCGCUAGUUUCAGGCUGUGAAAACUGUGCUGAAGAAUGGUUUCUCCCAAUACUAGUGGGUAAUUCCGCGUGGGUUCGAGUCGUAAGCACACUCCAAUCG